rnacentral:rRNA from 1 species
AAUAGAUACCCGGGUAGUCCACGCCGUAAACGAUGUCGACUUGGAGGUUGUUCCCUUGAGGAGUGGCUUCCGGAGCUAACGCGUUAAGUCGACCGCCUGGGGAGUACGGCCGCAAGGUUAAAACUCAAAUGAAUUGACGGGGGCCCGCACAAGCGGUGGAGCAUGUGGUUUAAUUCGAUGCAACGCGAAGAACCUUACCUACUCUUGACAUCCAGAGAACUUAGCAGAGAUGCUUUGGUGCCUUCGGGAACUCUGAGACAGGUGCUGCAUGGCUGUCGUCAGCUCGUGUUGUGAAAUGUUGGGUUAAGUCCCGCAACGAGCGCAACCCUUAUCCUUUGUUGCCAGCGGUUCGGCCGGGAACUCAAAGGAGACUGCCAGUGAUAAACUGGAGGAAGGUGGGGAUGACGUCAAGUCAUCAUGGCCCUUACGAGUAGGGCUACACACGUGCUACAAUGGCGUAUACAAAGAGAAGCGACCUCGCGAGAGCAAGCGGACCUCAUAAAGUACGUCGUAGUCCGGAUUGGAGUCUGCAACUCGA